rnacentral:lncRNA from 1 species
UACUUUUUUUCUUCCAUAUACUUUAAAUCACUUCUAGAUUACUUAUAAUAACUAAAACAAUGUAAAUGCCGUGUAAACAGUUGUAAAUAUAAUGUAAGCUUGAUGUAAAUAGUUGCCAGUACAGGGAAAAUUCAUAUUUUGCUUUUUGGAACUUUCUGAAAUUAAAAAAAAAAAAUAUUUUCCAUCUGCAGUUGGCUGAAUCCACAGAUAUAGAACCCAAGGACGUGGUGGGCUGGCUGUAAUUAUCCUCUUUCUCAUCAGAUUUUCACUAAUGAUUUUAGCAUUUGUCAAUGAUUUUUGAUUAAAACAAUUAUUACUACAGUAUCUAUUAAAUAAUUGUUUUGAUAUAGUAAAACAAUCAUUGCUAUAGUAUAGUAAGACAUUCUUUUUUUUGUUAUUCCUUCAUCCAACACUUAUUACCUAGAAAUCUGCUGUAAUGAAGAGUCUUCUCUUCACCCAUUCACUCUAUUUCUUUAUGUAACUGUGAACUCUUGGACUCUUAUUUUAGUCCAUGGGUUACAAUCCGUCACUAUCCUUUUUUGUUGUUGUUACUCCAGUUGCCCCAGAUCUGACCACUGGGAGCCUCUUCAAGUUGGCUACUGUGUCUUUUUAACAUAUUUGAAGUGGUGGUUCCUAUUUGAAACAAGGACAUGCUAAAAAUAUUGACUCAGGUCCUAAAAAGAUAUGAAUCUGGAGACUUCUGGAGGCUCUUUCCUGUCCCUCUUGUAAUAGCUGGCCCCUUGGAUCCCAGAGAGCUCCACGGAGGAGGAGGCCAUCCCAGAGACUGACCUCAGGAGAGACCCCCUUUCUAACAAGGCUGUCUCGUCUACCUCCAGUUCCCAUGGCUUUAUAGGUGUCUAGGUCUCUCCUGGUCCCUUUCAGUGCCUUCCUAACUCUGUAAAGGGGCACAGACACAGGACCCUUCCUUUGGCGCACGUUCCGUGCUGGGUGUGGCUCUGCAUGACCCAGGCUGUCUCCUUGCAGGAUGGCAAGAGGAUGGAGCUCAAAACCCCUGCUGCUUCUUUGCCUAAAACACUGGGAUGCAACUUCCUCGGUUUAAAAAGAGUUGAAAAAGAACACGGCACUUCUGUGGCCACAGACACAGGCAGCAUGGGCCUCCCCUCCCUGGAUUCCUGAUUCCUCAGGUCUACCUCUUUAGGCUUUGCAAGUAAGUAUUUCUUUAAGUUUUUAUUUUUAUUUUUGGCUGCUCCUAUGGCAUGUGAAAGUUCCCAGGCCAGGGAUCAAACCUGUGCCACAGCAGUGUGACCACACCGGAUCCUCAACCCCCUGUGCCACAAGAGAACUCCCAAGUAAGGUUUUAUAUAUUUAGAUGCCCUGCCU